rnacentral:pre_miRNA from 1 species
UUGAAGAAUUUGAAGUCUUUAACUUGUAGACUUGAUGAAUUGGAAGACUUCAUCAUGCAGACUUGGAGAUUUUUGAAGAUUUCAAGU